GUCCACCGUCGCUCCUGACGUCGUGCCGGCAUCGCCGGACUCCGCCGAAGAAGCCUCACUGACGAGUGUUCCUUUUCCGGCCAUCUUGAGACGUCGCGUGCUGUCUGAUCUUCACAACCAAUGUCCUUUUCUUUAUUUGCAAAAUUCACCAGGGAGGUGGAGAAGAGCAAUAAUCUUGUCACUGUCUACAGAUGAAGCCAGGAAAAGCAUCGGCUGCGAAGAAGAUCGUUGGGGGCAUCAAGAAGGUGUCCUCCUUGGCUGCAAAGAAGGAGCGCCCUUUCUGAUUCAAAGAAGGACGAUGUGGAGAUUCGAGUUCAGACGAGGACCUGUCAGACGACAAGUUAUCGCCUAGCCGAUUCGUUCAAGAACUGAAGAUCGAGGAGCUCCAAAAGCAAGUCGAUGCCAUGAUAAGGGGGAUCAAGAACCUGCAAAAGACGGUAGUCGCCAUAUCUAAGGAGAUCCAGGAUCUGAAAAAGCAUGUCCAUGCCAACAUUGCCAAGAUUUAGAAGCCUUAGAAGCCAUGUCUAGCUUAAUUUAAUUUCCUUGUGGCUAUGUUCUUGCAGUUUCCGUAUACACUUAGUUCAAAGAACAUUGCACUCUCGGUGAGAUGGUGGCAUCAACGUAAUGCGCUUUAAAUUAUUUUUGCCAUCAAAUUGCCUGUGAUGUGUCCAGAUUAAUUAUGUUCAAUGUUUUAUUUA